GCAGUGAUAGUAUAAUUAUAGUAUGUUUGUUUUCCAAACAAAUGGUUUCGGUUAGAAUCAUUGUA